rnacentral:rRNA from 1 species
GACGAACGCUGGCGGCGUGCUUAACACAUGCAAGUCGAACGGAAAGGCCCUGCUUUUGUGGGGUGCUCGAGUGGCGAACGGGUGAGUAACACGUGAGUAACCUGCCCUUGACUUUGGGAUAACUUCAGGAAACUGGGGCUAAUACCGGAUAGGAGCUCCUGCUGCAUGGUGGGGGUUGGAAAGUUUCGGCGGUUGGGGAUGGACUCGCGGCUUAUCAGCUUGUUGGUGGGGUAGUGGCUUACCAAGGCUUUGACGGGUAGCCGGCCUGAGAGGGUGACCGGCCACAUUGGGACUGAGAUACGGCCCAGACUCCUACGGGAGGCAGCAGUUGGGAAUAUUGCACAAUGGGCGGAAGCCUGAUGCAGCAACGCCGCGUGCGGGAUGACGGCCUUCGGGUUGUAAACCGCUUUCGCCUGUGACGAAGCGUGAGUGACGGUAAUGGGUAAAGAAGCUCCGGCUAACUACGUG